rnacentral:rRNA from 1 species
GGGACACGUGGUAUCCUGUCUGAAUAUGGGGGGACCAUCCUCCAAGGCUAAAUACUCCUGACUGACCGAUAGUGAACCAGUACCGUGAGGGAAAGGCGAAAAGAACCCCGGCGAGGGGAGUGAAAAAGAACCUGAAACCGUGUACGUACAAGCAGUGGGAGCACCUUCGGGUGUGACUGCGUACCUUUUGUAUAAUGGGUCAGCGACUUAUAUUCUGUAGCAAGGUUAACCGUAUAGGGGAGCCGCAGGGAAACCGAGUCUUAACUGGGCGUUAAGUUGCAGGGUAUAGACCCGAAACCCGGUGAUCUAGCCAUGGGCAGGUUGAAGGUUGGGUAACACUAACUGGAGGACCGAACCGACUAAUGUUGAAAAAUUAGCGGAUGACUUGUGGCUGGGGGUGAAAGGCCAAUCAAACCGGGAGAUAGCUGGUUCUCCCCGAAAGCUAUUUAGGUAGCGCCUCGUGAAUUCAUCUUCGGGGGUAGAGCACUGUUUCGGCUAGGGGGUCAUCCCGACUUACCAACCCGAUGCAAACUACGAAUACCGAAGAAUGUUAUCACGGGAGACACACGGCGGGUGCUAACGUCCGUCGUGAAGAGGGAAACAACCCAGACCGCCAGCUAAGGUCCCAAAGUCAUGGUUAAGUGGGAAACGAUGUGGGAAGGCACAGACAGCCAGGAUGUUGGCUUAGAAGCAGCCAUCAUUUAAAGAAAGCGUAAUAGCUCACUGGUCGAGUCGGCCUGCGCGGAAGAUGUAACGGGGCUAAACCAUGCACCGAAGCUGCGGCAGCGACACUAUGUGUUGUUGGGUAGGGGAGCGUUCUGUAAGCCUGCGAAGGUGUGCUGUGAGGCAUGCUGGAGGUAUCAGAAGUGCGAAUGCUGACAUAAGUAACGAUAAAGCGGGUGAAAAGCCCGCUCGCCGGAAGACCAAGGGUUCCUGUCCAACGUUAAUCGGGGCAGGGUGAGUCGACCCCUAAGGCGAGGCCGAAAGGCGUAGUCGAUGGGAAACAGGUUAAUAUUCCUGUACUUGGUGUUACUGCGAAGGGGGGACGGAGAAGGCUAUGUUAGCCGGGCGACGGUUGUCCCGGUUUAAGCAUGUAGGCUGGUUGUCCAGGCAAAUCCGGAUAAUCAAGGCUGAGGUGUGAUGACGAGGCACUACGGUGCUGAAGUAACAAAUGCCCUGCUUCCAGGAAAAGCCUCUAAGCAUCAGGUAACAUCAAAUCGUACCCCAAACCGACACAGGUGGUCAGGUAGAGAAUACCAAGGCGCUUGAGAGAACUCGGGUGAAGGAACUAGGCAAAAUGGUGCCGUAACUUCGGGAGAAGGCACGCUGGUGUGUAGGUGAAGUCCCUGCGGAUGGAGCUGAGACCAGUCGAAGAUACCAGCUGGCUGCAACUGUUUAUUAAAAACACAGCACUGUGCAAACACGAAAGUGGACGUAUACGGUGUGACGCCUGCCCGGUGCCGGAAGGUUAAUUGAUGGGGUUAUCCGUAAGGAGAAGCUCUUGAUCGAAGCCCCGGUAAACGGCGGCCGUAACUAUAACGGUCCUAAGGUAGCGAAAUUCCUUGUCGGGUAAGUUCCGACCUGCACGAAUGGCGUAAUGAUGGCCAGGCUGUCUCCACCCGAGACUCAGUGAAAUUGAACUCGCUGUGAAGAUGCAGUGUACCCGCGGCAAGACGGAAAGACCCCGUGAACCUUUACUAUAGCUUGACACUGAACAUUGAGCCUUGAUGUGUAGGAUAGGUGGGAGGCUUUGAAGCGUGGACGCCAGUCUGCGUGGAGCCAACCUUGAAAUACCACCCUUUAAUGUUU